rnacentral:rRNA from 1 species
AGAGUUUGAUCCUGGCUCAGAUUGAACGCUGGCGGCAGGCCUAACACAUGCAAGUCGAGCGGCAGCGGGAAAGUAGCUUGCUACUUUUGCCGGCGAGCGGCGGACGGGUGAGUAAUGCCUGGGGAUCUGCCCAGUCGAGGGGGAUAACUACUGGAAACGGUAGCUAAUACCGCAUACGCCCUACGGGGGAAAGCAGGGGACCUUCGGGCCUUGCGCGAUUGGAUGAACCCAGGUGGGAUUAGCUAGUUGGUGAGGUAAUGGCUCACCAAGGCGACGAUCCCUAGCUGGUCUGAGAGGAUGAUCAGCCACACUGGAACUGAGACACGGUCCAGACUCCUACGGGAGGCAGCAGUGGGGAAUAUUGCACAAUGGGGGAAACCCUGAUGCAGCCAUGCCGCGUGUGUGAAGAAGGCCUUCGGGUUGUAAAGCACUUUCAGCGAGGAGGAAAGGUUGGUAGCUAAUAACUGCCAGCUGUGACGUACUCGCAGAAGAGA